rnacentral:rRNA from 1 species
GCCAGACUCCUACGGGAGGCAGCAGUGGGGGAUAUUGCACAAUGGGGGAAACCCUGAUGCAGCAACGCCGCGUGAGUGAAGAAGUAUUUCGGUAUGUAAAGCUCUCUCAGCAGGGAAGAGAAUGACGGUACCUGACUAAGAAGCCCCGGCUAACUACGUGCCAGCAGCCGCGGUAAUACGUAGGGGGCGAGCGUUAUCCGGAUUUACUGGGGGUAAAGGGAGCGCAGGCGGCACGGCAAGCCUGAUGUGAAAGCCCGCGGCCCAACCGCGGGACUGCUCUUGGAACUGCGUGGCUGGAGUGCAGGAGGGGCAGGCGGAAUUCCUGGUGUAGCGGUGAAAUGCGUAGAUAUCAGGAGGAACACCGGUGGCGAAGGCGGCCUGCUGGACUGCAACUGACGUUGAGGCCCGAAAGCGUGGGGAGCAAACAGGAUUAGAUACCCCAGUAAA